CACAAGAUGGCGCUGUCUGUCUUACCUCAGGGGCUACGAGCGCGCUCGUUACUGCUGCCGCUUUCUGAGAGAAGUGUUUUAUGUGACUUGUUAAGAAGUUGUUUGUCAUCAGAAUGAGCAUUUUAACCGUUUAACAGAGAAGGUUUUCUUACCAAAGACAUUAAAUCAGUUCUUCACUUUAUUGCUGUGUGCCUCAGUGUGUUAAUUUUGACAGGUAUAAUUCAGAAAAACUGUUUUUCUUGAGUUUCCAGUACUACACAUGUACUAAAGAUAUGAGUAUCAUAAAACAUACCAAAAAUACCUUUCCACAGAAUUUAUGAGCUCUUGUUUGAAUAUUAACCAUUGCGAUUGCAAGUUUACUGUUUUCUGAUAUGUAUGACUUUUAUGAAUGAGGUGGACAUUCACCCUACUCCACAGGAUAAGCAGACUUUCAAUGGCUUAGAUGGCAGUGGAGUUUUCACAGAGAUGGACUCGUCCUGGUGUCCACCCCUGUGUGUUCUAUGAGGACUCGCUCGAGCUGCACAUGGUGCUGCUGGAACUGGAGGAUGUGGAGAAACAGAUCCGUGACCUACUCGACAAGCAGGCCCAGCUGCUGGAGCGAAGAACUGCGCUGGAAACAUCUUGUGCUUCUGCCUACACAUCCAAGGUAAGCACGCAGCAUGGUAUUACCACUCUCAGCCCCUCUACGCCGUGUGUUUCUCUUUGCAGUGACCAUGUACCCAAGACUUUUCCAGCCGAGGUCUCAGUCACACCGGCGCCGACACACCUUGGGUGCACCAGCAGCGAAAGGCGAGAGCCAUACCCCAGGCGAUAACCUCUCCAUCUCCGGUGUUUGAGAUCCCAACCAGGAACCGCUUCACCCCUCACUGUCAGACCAGACCAAACGAUGUGAUCGUCGGGGACUCCAUUGUGCGAAACGACCGCGUCGCUUCAACAAAGGGUAAGGUGCACACACAUUGUUUUCCUGGUGCUCGUGUCCUUGAUGUUGCUGCGCAGGUAUCUGGGAUCCUGAAGAAGGACGAGCGCAUUGGAGCGGCCAUGCUGCACGCGGGGGCAAACGACAUCAGGCUGCGGCAGACGGAGUUUCUGAAGAGGGACUUCGCCAGCCUGAUCGAGACGGUAUGAGGCAGAUCACCCACCGCGAAGAUCAUCGUCUCUUGACCUCUUCCCUCAUACAGACGUGGAGCUGAAUAUUUCAGUAGACUUCUUGCUUUGAAUGACUGGUUAGUUUAUUGGUGUAAUGCAGGGGUUCCCAAACUUUUCCAGGGCAAGGCCCCCCAAAUGGCAUUAACAUUUGAUCGCGGCCCCCCUUUUGCAAGAUGUCCUUAAAACACAUUAAAAAUACAGACUUCUGAAUAUAUCCCCCUUUUUUUACGUUGAUGUUUUGUCUGUUUAGCAAUUAAAAAGUUAGGUAUAGCAAAUGUGAUUUUUAAUAUGUAUUGGUACAAAUCACAUGUUAUAGUAAUGCGCAUAUAUAUAAUCUCAAUAUCAUGUAUUUAUUUGUUUUUCACACCAAAUUGUUGAGGCCCCCCUGGUGGCCCCCACUUUUAAAACCACUGGUGUAAUGAACAGUAUCUGCUGUUUGUUAAUAACUGGAAUCUGUUCUGGGAGCGUCCUAGGUUGUUUCGUUCUGAUGGCCUGCACCCCAGCAGCCUCGGACCGGAACUGCUGUCUGACAACAUCUCCAAGGCGCUACACACCAAGUGACUGCCUACUAGUUUGAUUUAACACACCGAUGUUGGAGUGAAGUAAACGUGUGUCCUGCUGUAAUCUGGAGAAGGAGACAUGACCUCCAACAUGAGUGUGUCUGGAGAACAGGAUUUAAAGAAAGACGAGAGAAUGAUGGAGGGAAAGAGAUCAGACUCACCAGAACCCAGCUGUGUGUCCAUGAAGAGUGACCGGUCAAUGGAGCAUCCAAUUUUCUUCAGAGACAGAGCCAGUUCUCCUGAUGUGAGGUCAGUACAGUGAGGUGUUUUACAGCAGUGUUCCACCUGAUCAAACUCACUGGUCUCAUUAUGAAGCCCUUCAUGAUCUUUAUCAGGUGUUGAAGCAGUAAAACACUAAAGUGUGCAGUGCUGCAGCUCUCAGACUGGCAGUGAGGAAAACUGCAUUAGGAGUUCAGUUCAGCCUGCAGUCCCUGAGCUGGAGGGUCUGUGGUGCUACACGACAACAUUUACACCUGGGACAUUAAUGACUAGAUCACUAUUUUAUUCAUAAACAUGUUAGUGUCAGUAAGGAAUCCCUGAAAUCAGUGUAUUGUGUUAAGAGGAUAGUGUUAAA